GGAAGUAAAAGUCGUAACAAGGUUUCCGUAGGUGAACCUGCGGAAGGAUCAUUACAGAGAUCAUGCCCUCACGGGUAGACCUCCCACCCUUGUGUAUUUAUACUUUGUUGCUUUGGCGGAUAAUGCGCUUGUUUUCGAACGAGUGCAUGUUACGUCCGCCAGAGGAUACCAAACUCAUAAUUAUUAGUGUCGUCUGAGUACUAUAUAAUAGUUAAAACUUUCAACAACGGAUCUCUUGGUUCUGGCAUCGAUGAAGAACGCAGCGAAAUGCGAUAAGUAAUGUGAAUUGCAGAAUUCAGUGAAUCAUCGAAUCUUUGAACGCACAUUGCGCCCCUUGGUAUUCCAGGGGGCAUGCCUGUUCGAGCGUCAUUUCAACCCUCAAGCUCUGCUUGGUAUUGGGCUUCUAUCAGUAAAAUGAUAGGCCUUAAAGUCAGUGGCGGCGCCGUUGGGUCCUGAACGUAGUAAUAUAUUUCGUUACAGGUUCCCCGCGUGCUUCUGCCAUUAAACCCCCAAUUUUCUAUGGUUGACCUCGGAUCAGGUAGGGAUACCCGCUGAACUUAAGCAUAUCAAUAAGCGGAGGA
rnacentral:rRNA from 1 species